rnacentral:rRNA from 1 species
AACGGAGGGUGCAAGCGUUGUUCGGAAUUACUGGGCGUAAAGCGCGUGCAGGUGGUCUUUUAAGUUUCGUGUGAAAGCCCUCGGCUUAACCGAGGAACGGCACGGAAAACUGAGAGACUUGAAUACGGGAGAAGAGGGCGGAAUUCCCAGUGUAGAGGUGAAAUUCGUAGAUAUUGGGAGGAACACCGGUGGCGAAAGCGGCUCUCUAGACCGAUAUUGACGCUCAUACGCGAGAGCGUGGGUAGCAAACAGG